rnacentral:rRNA from 1 species
AUUGAACGCUGGCGGCAGGCUUAACACAUGCAAGUCGAGCGGAGUGAUGGUGCUUGCACUAUCACUUAGCGGCGGACGGGUGAGUAAUGCUUAGGAAUCUGCCUAUUAGUGGGGGACAACAUCUCGAAAGGGAUGCUAAUACCGCAUACGUCCUACGGGAGAAAGCAGGGGAUCACUUGUGACCUUGCGCUAAUAGAUGAGCCAAAGUCGGAUUAGCUAGUUGGUGGGGUAAAGGCCUAGCAAGGCGACGAUGUGUAGCGGGUCUGAGAGGAUGAUCCGCCGCCCUGGGGAGGGGACACGGCCCCGAAUUCUACGGGAGGCAGGAGUGGGGAAUAUUGGACAAUGGGGGGAACCCUGAUUCAGGCAUGCCGCGUGUGAAGAAGGCCUUAUGGUUGUAAAACACUUUAAGGGAGGAGGAGGGUCUUUUUGUUAAAACCCAAGAUGAGUUGACGGUACUCGGAGAAUAAGCACCGGCUAACUCUGUGCCAGCCGCCGCCGUAA